rnacentral:rRNA from 1 species
ACCGGCAGCUCAAGUGGUGGCCAUUUUUAUUGGGCCUAAAGCGUUCGUAGCCGGUUUGAUAAGUCUCUGGUGAAAUCCCGCAGCUUAACUGUGGGACUUGCCGGAGAUAUUAUUAGACUUGAGGUCGGGAGAGGUUAGGGGUACUCCCAGGGUGGGGGUGAAAUCCUAUAGUCCUGGGAGGACCACCGGUGGCGGAGGCGCCUAACUGGAGCGAACCUGAUGGUGAGUAACGAAAGCGAGGGGCGCGAACCG